rnacentral:misc_RNA from 1 species
CCAAACUUGGUCAUUUAGAGGAAGUAAAAGUCGUAACAAGGUUUCCGUAGGUGAACCUGCGGAAGGAUCAUUAUCGAGUUAGGGUGCGCCUUAAACAGCCGCCCAACCUCCCAACCCUGUGUCUAUCAUACUCAAGUUGCUUCGGUGGGCCGGAUUUUGACCAACUGGUCGAGUCCGCCGGCCCCUAGGGCUGGAGAGCUGCCCACCGAUGGCCUUCUUACACACUCUUGUACCGAAACCUGUCGUCUAAUCGUGAUUAUAAAUCAAUUAAAACAAAACUUUCAACAACGGAUCUCUUGGUUCUGGCAUCGAUGAAGAACGCAGC